CUACGGGGCGCAGCAGUGGGGAAUAUUGCACAAUGGGCGCAAGCCUGAUGCAGCCAUGCCGCGUGUAUGAAGAAGGCCUUCGGGUUGUAAAGUACUUUCAGCGGGGAGGAAGGGAGUAAAGUUAAUACCUUUGCUCAUUGACGUUACCCGCAGAAGAAGCACCGGCUAACUCCGUGCCAGCAGCCGCGGUAAUACGGAGGGUGCAAGCGUUAAUCGGAAUUACUGGGCGUAAAGCGCACGCAGGCGGUUUGUUAAGUCAGAUGUGAAAUCCCCGGGCUCAACCUGGGAACUGCAUCUGAUACUGGCAAGCUUGAGUCUCGGAGAGGGGGGUAGAAUUCCAGGUGUAGCGGUGACAUGCGUAGAGAUCUGGAGGAAUACCGGUGGCGAAGGCGGCCCCCUGGACGAAGACUGACGCUCAGGUGCGAAAGCGUGGGGAGCAAACAGGAUUAGAUACCCGUGUAGUC
rnacentral:rRNA from 1 species